rnacentral:lncRNA from 1 species
AUUUUAUCAAAGUGCCAAACCAAUAGGAUUCGGACAACAACUUUUUUUAUAAAUAGAAAGGAUUCCAAGAACUAGACUCGUCAAUUUUGAAUCCCUAAAAUUGUCGACAACCCCGCAAAUGGGAUGGCUUGUAAUGGAUCAAAUUGCUUAGAUCAUAUAAGAAUACAAUUCGGCGAAGAUAAAUGAUGAUCAUAGUCCGUUGGUGACUUUGGUGUAGAGGCACAUCAGCGGCGGGGUUACCACCAUUUAUGGUAUCAAAAUCAAGCUUCUAAUUUCAAAAGAUGGCGAUGGAGGUUCCUUGAUAAAUUCUCCGGCCGGAGGUAUUUGAAGGGUUUAGGCUCGAUCUUGAUACCAUCAAUGGUGGCGGCACUACCCUUCACGGGCUGCAUUACAUCGACACCCUAUCAUAAUAGUUAGCUCCAAAUUUAUCCAAUUCCUCAGGUUGCUAAUCCAAAUUAUUAAACCAGGUAAUCCUUUUUACAAUUUUCUGUGACUUUUAAUUUAGCAGGUAUGCAGGCUGGCAAAGCCACCAAAAUUAUAAAGUUAAUUUCACCAAUCGUCAUUAAGUUUGGUCAUUAAAGUAUUUUUCCUACUCUAUUAGUCACUGCAAUUUAAAAUUUUCACAAAUGAUCAUUCCAUUGAAAAAUUACUUGUAUAAUCGGCCAUACUGCUAUUAACUUUGACGUGUUGCACUAAACAUUAUAAUUACACCAAAAUUAAAAUAUAUUUUUAAUAAAUACAUCACAAUAAAUUUACAAUUAUACUCCUAAUUCAAUAAAAAUAAAAAAUUGAAAAAGAACAUAAUAUAAUAUUGUGAUGUACAUAUCACCCAUAUUAAUUCUCAUUUUCUCAAUCUUUCCCCUCAUUUAUUGCAUAGCAAUUUUGAAAACAGAAGAUCGGUGAAGAACACCAUGCAAUAAUAAAUAGAAUGUUUGUCAUAAAUAAUUAAUAUGUCCAAAAGGAUCCUUUGAAAUUGUCAGUAAUUUUUUUGUGUUAUCAUUUUUAAUCGAAAUAUGAAUUUUUAAUGUAUUCGCAAUUUCAAUUUUUAAUCUUGGAAGUCUAUUUUGGAAACACUUUUAAGUGGAAUUAAGAAAUUUUACCAACAACCACAUUAUAAUCUCAUGGAUAAAAAUGUUAUAAUAAUUCAUCGGACACAUAUAAAACCCAACUUGAGGAAGCAUUUAUGACAUGUGUUGAUAAACUGGACAUGUUUCAUAAUUGAAUUAACAGAUAUAGAUUUAAUAUUCGAUUUAUUCAUACUUGGUCAGCAGUAUCAUUUUCCUAACAUUUAGAACAAAUAAAUUGAAUUAUGAUAAAUUAUAAAAAAUUUAAAUCCUGUAAAAAAAUACAAUAUAACAAUAAAAACUCCUUGUUGAUUAAGAACAACUUUUGGAAAUUCAUAUGCCUCAUAGACAAAAAUCUACGAAAAUUGACGCACCUACAUAUACACAAAUUCAUUUACAGUUUAUCUAUAUACCAUGAGGGAACAGAUUAUCUUGUCGUCGUGGAAGAAGAAAAAAGUCGUCGGAGAAACUAUGAACAAUGAGAUGUUGCGGAAAAAGAACGAAAUAAAUUAGGUUUUAUAUUUGUUGUGUAACAAUAAUUUAUUAAUUAAAAAAUAUAUUAAAAUUCUAAUAAUGUAAUUUUAUUUAAGGAUAUUUUAGUAAAUAAGAAAAUUGUGAUACAUGUAGUAAAAUUUAUAGUAGUAAUAUAAUUACCUUUAAUGAGUGGUCAAUUUUUGGGAUCACUUUAAUAAAAUAUGAGCAAGAUUGAUUCCCGUGACCUAACUUUCACAUUUUUUCUCAAGUCACGGAUAGAAUUUGACCAUUUGAUGAAAGACAGAUUUGGAAUUUUACUUGUGUUAAUUGAUUUUAACAUCUUAUAAUUGACGACGACAAGUCAGGUCAUACAUUAUUGGGUAUUGCUGUUUGUACAAUCCAUGUUGUGAGUGGGGUUCGUGAUUAUUUUAAUCGUGAACCCUAUUUCUUGCAUGUGAGUGUAUUAUGAACCAUGAUAUGAAUAAUGUUGUACCCAUAGUCAGUGGCGAAUCCAGGACUUCGACUCAACUAGGGCGAUCGUUAUCUGUCAAUAGUUCACGAUCGUAUAGC